rnacentral:rRNA from 1 species
AUUGAACGCUGGCGGCAGGCCUAACACAUGCAAGUCGAGCGAGUGGCGGACGGGUGAGUAAUGUAUGGGGAACUGCCCGAUAGAGGGGGAUAACUACUGGAAACGGUAGCUAAUACCGCAUACUAUCGGAUGAACCCAGAUGGGAUUAGCUAGUAGGUGGGGUAACGGCUCACAUAGGCGACGAUCUCUAGCUGGUCUGAUAGGAUGAUCAGCCACACCGGGACUGAGACACGGCCCAGACUCCUACGGGAGGCAGCAGUGGGGAAUAUUGCACAAUGGGCGCAAGCCGGAUGCAGCCAUGCCGCGUGUAUGAAGAAGGCCUUAGGGUUGUAAAGUACUUUCAGCGGUGAGGCGUUACCCGCAGAAGAAGCACCGGCUAACUCCGUGCCAGCAGCCGCGGUAAUUC